CCUACGGGGGGCAGCAGUGGGGAAUAUUGGGCAAUGGAGGCAACUCUGACCCAGCAACGCCGCGUGAGUGAUGAAGGUAUUCGGAUUGGAAAGUUCUGUGAUGGGGGAUGAACACAAUGACGGUACCCCAAUAGCGAGCCACGGCUAACUACGUGCCAGCAGCCGCGGUAAUACGUAGGUGGCAAGCGUUCUCCGGAAUGACUGGGCGUAAAGGGUGCGUAGGUGGUUUAGUAAGUUGGCGGGGUAAUUCCGGGGCUCAACCUCGGCGCUACCGCCAAAACUAUUAGACUAGAGUGCAGGAGGGGUAAGUGGAAUGCCUGGUGUAGCGUUGGAAUGCGUAGAUAUUAGGAGGAACAUCAGUGGCGAAGGCGACUUACUGGACUGUAACUGACGCUGAGGCACGAAAGCGUGGGUAGCAAACAGGAUUAGAUACCCUGGUAGUC
rnacentral:rRNA from 1 species